GGACCAAUGAUGAUUACUGGUGGUUUGAAUCAUGGAUGAUAAAUAACAUGUGUCAGAAACUCUGAGGUCCAGCAAAAAAAAAUCUAAGUCAGUCUCUCUGUAGGGAUCCUGUAGGUAGAAGUCAGGGAUAUACAAAGAUCUUGUUUAUUUCUUGUGUUCUUUCAUGAAUUUUCACUUCAUUAUUAUAGUCGGAGCAGGGAAAUAAAUAAUCAAAUAAGUAAAUAAAAGAAAUGGAGUGUGUGAAUAUCUCAUAUAAAAAUUUGUAUUCACACAAGAAAUGCUGUAAAAAUUGAGAAAACACUUAAAACCAAAGAGAAAGAAAGAGUACAUGACUUAAAUCUUUGGCUAAUUUAAUACAGACAAUAGUAAGUAAUAGUCGUGGCUCACCUUCUGUGUCAGGGAUAAGUUUUAAGUUCAUUUUCUUAAGAGAAAAUGAAGCAUACUCCAAAUAAAAGAUUGUCUAAAUCACUGAAAAGUGAAAUGCGCAAGUAAGGACCAAUGACAAUUAGGUCUCGAUUCGUGGACAUCGCCUCUGCCCUGUACGUCACGGAAUGGGCGCCUUGAGAUGAUUUAAGUUUCCUCCAAGAUCAAGAGCCCUCUGGUUGCAUCUUUGUGUUAGAAUCAUGGAGAACAACGGAAUCGUCAGUGUCCUUGUGUGGGACGGAGCCAUGUUUUUAGAUAAGGUAUUACUGUAUUAUUAAAAAUAUUAAGUAUAAUCAAAGAAGUCCAAACACACCACUGUCAGUGACCAUGGAUGGAAAAGAAUGUGAUGCUAUAUCCGUAUAUGAUACACUGAAUUCAGUUAAUGAAAGGGCUGGGUCUCCGCGGAGGUGACUUUAUAGACUGAUGUUAGGAUUAUUCAAAGGACUUACAGUUUUUUUGUGAUUGAUGUUUAUUUAAGUAAUUGUGAAUUAAUCAAAACAAAAAUGUCCAUGAACGAGAAAAGAGCCAGUGUGCUUCUGUGGGAAAUGAUGCCCAAGAUCAAAGUUAGGAAGAGACAAACGUCAGAUUCCCAUUUGGAGUUUAUAAAUGUAAAUGUAUAAUUAAUAAUACACAGAAGAACAAUUGUAAAAUAAAACAACCAUAUAAAAGAAGCUGAAGGAUUGUCGUAUGAAACAUGUGGUAGGACAAGAAACACUAUUUUUUUUUUUCUUUUUUUGGCUUUUGCCAUUUCUUGGGCUGCUCCCGCGGCAUAUGAAUGUUCCCAGGCUAGGGGUCUGAUUGGAGCUAUAGCUGCUGGCCUACGCCAGAGUCCACAGCAAUGCAGGCUCUGAGCCCCGUCCGCAAGCUACACCAUAGCUCAGGGCAACGCAGAUCCUUAACCCACUGAGCAAGGCCAGGGAUCGAACCCGCAACCUCAUGGUUCCUAGUUGGAAUCGUUAACCACUGAGACACGACAGGAACUCCAAGAAGUACUAUUAAUAAAACUGUAAUUGUUUGUUAUAAUUAAGCAGUAAAUGAGUAGGCAUUUUGCAUGUUCGUGGAAAGGAUCCUACAGAUACUGAUGAAUGAGAGUCAACAUUUUUGUGUGGUAUCAGUCUCUUUUAAAGGGUGUAUAAGAGGAAAACUAUCGUAUUAACAAACUAUUAUGUUUAGAAUGGAUAAGCAGAGAGGUCCUGCUGUACAGCACGGUGAACAGUAUCCCAACUCUCGAGGUAGAAAAUGAUGGAAGACCGUAGGAAAAAAUAAUGUGUAUCAGUAUAUGACUAUGCUGCACAGCAGAAAUGGGCACAGCAAUGUAAAUCAACUAUACGUAAAAAUUGUUAUGAAAAUAAAAAUUUAAUGAGUGCAUAAAAAAGGAAACGUCCAUUAAAAGAAAUACGGAGAUUAAGUGAGAAUUUCUUAAAUUAAUUUAUAUGAAAAUUUAAAAACUUACAUUGGGGGGCCUGGGAAAGGGAAUUCCAUGUUUAAAAAAAAAGAAAAGGAAACGAAAGGGAGAGGGAGUAAAGGCAAGACCAAAUUGCACAGUCCAUGGUGACAGGUAUCAUGAGACGCUUCCCAUCCCACGGACCCCUGGAAGUUCAGGUAGGGUAUUGAUAUCUUACCCAGCCCUUUAAUAAAUUGAUCAACAAAGAAGGUCAAGCUAAGGGAACACAGGAGGGACAGUAUAGGAUUGAAGAUGACUCCUGGUGGCAUAUGCGUCCUGUACGAUGAAAACCUGUCUGAAACUCCGAGGUCCACUGAAGGAGGAAUCUGGUUCAAUGUCCACAAAGCAGUGACCCAAUAGGCCGAGGUCAGGAAACGACGAGGGUGACUGACAGAGCACGGGCAUUCCAGCAUUUUCCUGGUGUUAGCCCAAUGGGAAAAUGUGAGCACCCGUCCGGCAGUAUCAGAGAACUGAAUCUAGAGAGAAAGGGAGUGAAGGCAUUUGCCAGGUCCUUGGUGACCCCCAUGGUAUGCCGCAUGCCAGGCUAUGGCCAGGUGUGUGUGUGGAAGCCGCGAGCCUGGAGAAUGGCUGUGCCAUUGGGUCUCCUGCUCUUGGCUUUGUACUCCUCAGUGUGCAGCCGCCGGACCCGAAGGCAGGCUCCUUCCUGGAUGAGCAGGCGAGGAUGGCAGCGUUGUCUCUGGAUCCAGAAGGCCAGUGGUGGAAGCCGAAGGCCAGGCCAGGCUCCAUGGGGCUGAGACCCCUCCUCUGGCGGUGGUGGCAGGAGAGAUCCCAAGGAGUGGAGCCAUUCCCUGGGGAAGCCCCUGAAAGUGCAACAGUGGGUGUGACAGAGGAGCAGCAAUGUAAGUAAGCAUCAGGAACGUGGCCUUGGUCGCAGAGGUUGGUUGCAGUGUGGACACGAGGAGGAUGGAUGUAGAAGACAUAGCUUAUGUUUUGUGAAUAGCGAAGAGGAGUUUACUUCAAGGAGCACCUUCUAGAAUUGAUCCACAAAGAAGACAGACACAGGGGAGGAUAGAGGAAAGGUAUCGGAUCGAUGAUGACUGCUGGUGCGUGUAUGAGUCUUGUAUGAUGAAUACACAUCAGGAACUCUGAGAUCCAAUGCUGAUGCCGCUGAGUCCAAAGUCCUCCGGAAACUGAGCCAGGAGAACAUGGCUGCUCAGGCGGGACGGAGGGCCCCACUCCAUGGGGAAGGAGGGGUGAGCAGUUCAGGAGGUGGCCGGGUCUUGAGCUCAUCCACACACGUCUGGCUUGGCUUCCUCUCAAGGAGGCCAUGAUGGGCCUGAGAGGCAUGGAGCCCGGAGUGGGUGUCUGGUUGGAGCCCCAUGAGGCAGUGGUGGGGAUUGGUAGAGGAUGAGGCCAGGCCAGUGAGGAACGCCCUGUCUGGACCCCUGAGGUCGCAGAGCCUCCAGAGUCCACUGUGGGCUGGGCUGGGCUCCUUUGGGAGUGGGCUGGGAGUGGACCCAGUCCCGAUCUCGUUUGCUCAGGGGCUGGAGACCUUCAGGGGCCAGGGACCUCCGUCGUCAAUGUUUGGGUCCCGGCCGGGAUGGACUUGGGUGAUGGAGAAGCCUGGUCCAGUGACUCUUCAGUGGGAAGACCGGGGCGCAGGGAAGAAGGUGUCACGAGACCGGCCUGGUGGAUGCAGGUUAUCUGAUGGAUGGCUCAAGGGGGCCCGGACUCUGUCCUGGCAGGGAUCUGUGUCCUUGUGAAGAAACGGUGGUCCCGUUUAGGGGACUGAGUGCAGCCCAGCCCCAGCCUGACCUUCAACCCCCAAGCCCUGAGGUUCUGCCUCCUUGGGCUCGUAGCAGAAUCACCUGGACCCCGGGGAAGGAGCAGAACCGGCUGACGCUUGAGUCUGCUGAGUGCAGAAAGGGCGAGUCAGUGGCGGUCCUCCUCGCUUUCCCUGUCUCUCUGUCACUGUCCCUGACUCUCUGUCUCGGUGGCUCUGCCUCGGUCUGUCCCUCUUGUCUCUCGCCUGGCUCUCUCUGUCGCCGUACGGGUCUCUUUCCUUUCUGGCAGCUUCGCGUCUGUGUGGUGGGGUGCACACCAGACCCCGGCGAGCCGAUUGGGCCCGUUUCCCUGGUGAGACCCCUAGACGAUUCCUUCAGUGGGGGAGAUGGCCAAGGAAGCAGUGUGGGUAAGAGUCCGGUCUGUGCCUUUGGGUUGGGCGAGUUGGGCGCUGUGUGGGUGUCGGGAAGGUCUUCUGGGAAGGAGCCGGCGUUGAGGUUGUGAAGGGUCCAGAGGGUGUGGACGUCUUGGCGGCACUUUGGUGAAUGGGUCGACCCAGAGGGUGGCCCUCAGGGAAGACGGAGGGGGGCAGUAUUGGAUCGAUGAUGACUACUGGUGGCGUAUGAGUCGUGUACGAUGAAUACGUGUCUGGAACGCUGAGGUCCAAUGUCCUCCGUGCCGUGAUCCUCGCGGGCGAGGCCAGGCAUCCAGGGGGGCCGUCCGUGUGUCCUCUGGGGGGCCCUCCUGGUGCUUGCAUUCGCCCAGUGGGCCAGUGGGAGCCCCUGUGGACCAGCCUGCCAGAACUGAAGGAGGAGAGCGAGGGAGGGCCGGCAUUCCCAAGGCGCCAGAUCCCUGGUGACCCCACCCCCCAUGGUCUGCCUCUUGCCAUGCCAUGGGCUGCAGGUUGGCCAGAGGUCUUGGGCUGAUGUCCACGAGGCUGAGGCCGUGGGGCAAGGGUGAGGUAGGCAGGGUCAGGGAGGGCCCACCUCUGUCCCGGGGCUGGGCGGCCAGCUGGUGGUUGGUGGUUGUCCCGAGACAGGGCUGUGCCCUGCCAGCAGGGUGGCCCCGAUGGAGGCGUGCAUGUGGAAGCCGCGAGCCUGGAGAAUGGCUGUGCCAUUGGGUCUCCUGCUCUUGGCUUUGUACUCUUCAGCAGGCAGCCGCCAGGCCCGAAGGCCGGCUCCUUCCUGGAUGAGCAGGCGAGGAUGGCAGCGUUGUCUUUGGAGCCAGGGGACCAGUGGUGGAAGCCGAAGGCCGGGCCAGGCUGCGUGGGGCCGAGACCCCUCCUCUGGCGGUGGUGGCAGGAGAGAUCCCAAGUUUUGUCCUUGGGCCAGGUGUUUGGAUUUCAUUGCCUUAGUCCUAAAUGGAGUCCCAACAUGAAGGACAGCCCUGCGACUGGAGAGCCCUGCCCCUCCGGGCUCACUAGUGGAGGCCCGAGAACAUGGAUAUUCAUGAGGGUCCCUCCGUGUGGAGUGUGUACCCCUCAGAGCAAUUGCACUGGAGAUGCUUUAGCAUCUUCCGUACGGACCCGAGCUCUGGGAUUGCCUCUGAACAUACGUGUUAGGACAUGGGAGAGUCACAGGACAUGCUCCCCGCUCUUUCGGCUUCUGCUGAGCUCAAGAUUGUCAGGCCGCCUCCGCGCCAGCAAAGAAGCGAAGGAGGGUGCACCGGAGCUGAAUGCAGCUUUCUUCCUUGAUGAGCAGGACAGGAGCUCAAAGGGAUGUUGGCCUCCGCUGGGAUGAAGGCUCUCCUCUUGGAGUUGUUCUAGGAGAGACCAAGGUGAGUCAGGGCCAAGUUCCUGUCUUGGUUUGGGUGGUUGGUUUAGGGUUUUGCUGCAUUGUUAAAGCAAUGAAUAUGAUCAAAAGGUUAAGGAUGGCCCAUUGAUAAAUAUGACAUGAAAUCUUACGUUAAAGAAGUGAUAAUAUGUAACGUUGUUGGUCAUUAAUGAAAGAUUUAUAAUCCACUUUGGUAAUAAUUGGAGGAGAAAUUGGGGAUAUUUUAGGGUAUUGUUCUUUUAUUUCGGUGAAUUAUAUUUUUAUUUUAUUAUUAUCAAUAAAGUAGUGAUUUAAUUGAUAUAAAUAUACACUUGAAUGAACUAAAAGUGGGCUCAAAUCUACCAGUGAUGAGGACUGGUAGAGGACGAGUCAUGGACAGUGCAUAAGGAGUGUCUGGAACCCCGAGGUCCAACAUAAUACAUAUUAUAUUUUCUAUGUUUAUUUGAUCCUAUGGACAGACGUUAGAAAUGCGUAAACUCAGGCCCGCUUUAUGGGUUAAUAGAUUUCAAUUUAACAUCGUUAAUGGUUCAAUAAUAGAACCAUUAUAUUUAAGUAAUAGACUUAAGAAGAAAGGGUAAAUUAUUAUCUACCUAUGUACGUAUAUGGUCAGGCAAGAAGUAGUAUUGAAAAUCGUGGAAUUCCCAUUGUGGCUUAGCAGGUGAAGACCUGACCUCGUCUCUAUCAGGAUACCAGUUUGGUCCUUGGCCUCACUCAGUGGCUUAAGGAUUCUGCAUUGUCACAAGCUGCAGUGUAGAUCACAAAUGUGGCUUGAAUUUGAUGCUGCUGUGGCUGUGGCUUAGGCCUCCGUCGUAGCACCGAUUUGAUACCUAGCCUGGGAACUUCCAUAUGCCAUGGGUAUGGCUAUAAUCUAAUCACUUGUGAUGGAAUAUGGUGGAGGAUAACGUGAAAAAAAGAAUGUGUAUGUUUAUAUACACUGUGCUGUACAGCAGAAAUUGACAGAACACUGUUUUUUGGGGGUUUUGUUGUUGUUGUUUUUUGUUUGUUUUUUAGUGCUACCCCCACAGCAUCAUAGCAUAGGGAAGCUUCCAGGUUAGGGGUCGAAUCAGAACUGCAGCUGUCGGCCUACGCCACAGCCACAGUAAUGUGGGAUCAAAGCUGCAUCUGUGGCCUACACUGCAAUGCCAGAUCCCUGACCCACUGAGUGAGGCCAAAUGUCGAACCUGCAGCCUCAUAGGUACCAGUCAGAUUCAUUUCUGCUGCGCUACAGCAGAAACUCCUAACAGAACGUUGUAAACCAGCUGUAAUAAAAAAAACUUAAAAAAAUAAUAAAAUGAAAAA
rnacentral:lncRNA from 1 species